rnacentral:rRNA from 1 species
CGUGCUUAACACAUGCAAGUCGAGCGAUGAAGCUCUCUGAAGUGGAUUAGCGGCGGACGGGUGAGUAACACGUGGGUAACCUGCCUCAUAGAGGGGAAUAGCCUUCCGAAAGGAAGAUUAAUACCGCAUAAGAUUGUAAUAUCGCAUGAUAUAGCAAUUAAAGGAGUAAUCCGCUAUGAGAUGGACCCGCGUCGCAUUAGCUAGUUGGUGAGGUAACGGCUCACCAAGGCGACGAUGCGUAGCCGACCUGAGAGGGUGAUCGGCCACAUUGGGACUGAGACACGGCCCAGACUCCUACGGGAGGCAGCAGUGGGGAAUAUUGCACAAUGGGGGAAACCCUGAUGCAGCAAACCGCCGCGUGAGUGAUGACGGUCUUCGGAUUGUAAAGCUCUGUCUUCAGGGACGAUAAUGACGGUACCUGAGGAGGAAGCCACGGCUAACUACGUGCCAGCAGCUGC